rnacentral:rRNA from 1 species
CCUACGGGAGGCAGCAGUGAGGAAUUUUGGUCAAUGGCCGGAAGGCUGAACCAGCCAUGCCGCGUGCAGGUCAGUGCCCUUUGGGCGGUAAACUUCUUUUGUGCGGGAGCAAUAAUGGUCACGUGUGGCCAGACGAGAGUACCGUACGAAUAAGCACCGGCUAACUCCGUGCCAGCAGCCGCGGUAAUACGGGGGAUGCAAGCGUUAUCCGGAUUUAUUGGGUUUAAAGGGUGCGUAGGCUGUGAGGUAAGUCAGCGGUGAAAUGCCCUCGCUCAACGGGGUGAAGUGCCAUUGAUACUGCCUUGCUGGAAUGCGGAUGCCGUGGGAGGAAUGUGUGGUGUAGCGGUGAAAUGCAUAGAUAUCACACAGAACACCGAUUGCGAAGGCAUCUCACGAAUCCGCGAUUGACGCUGAUGCACGAAAGCGUGGGUAUCAAACAGGAUUAGAUACCCGUGUAGUC